CUCUUUAAAUGCUAAGUUUUCUAAAGAGACGCUCAUGUGACUGCAUCCGGUUUCAUCAGAACUGCUUUCAUGUGUCAAAUUUAGAAGCGGUAGACGGCUGUAUAUGUGAAAAAUAAGCGGCGCACAACUUCACAUCCUGUUGUAGAACUUGAAAAGCACCAGAUCACAUGACUCACCAAAGUACUCUAGAAUCGUUUUUGGGUGGGUUUUUUUUGUUACAUGAGCAGAUUUGACCUUAUUUUGUCAAUGCGCUAUAAUGUGCACAAGGCUGAGAGAUUUUUACAGUGGUUCAUUAGUGAUCACUAAUAAUUUUUCCUAGAAAAAGAAUGCUCAGAACUACCACAAAAAUGAUUAUUAAAAAAAAAAAAAAAGCUAUUUCAGCAGAUUUUUUUUUUUUUUUGCUUUGCUUGUUGGAAUUUGCUACAUUGUGUGCAAUCAUGUAUUUUGGGAAAAACAACCAUGUGAGCUGUCAUCAUUCACUCUUAAAAAUGACAUCACAUUCAGUCAGUCCAGUUUCUAUCAGUCAUCAAACAAUUUAUCAUCUGCCCCUCCUAUCUGUGAAUCACAAAUCAAAACUAUAAAUCCCCUCUCAGAUGUCAUGUUUUCCGAAAUCAAGGAAUCAUUUUUCGGAGCUCCCCUGUCAUGUGGAAUGAAAUGUGCUUUUAAAAGGAAGCAGAUGAGUCCCUGGAAAAACCCGUCAAGUCCCCGGGCGUCCGUUUAUGGCGUCCUAAUGUUUACAGCCCAGGGGACAACUACAUGCUAAUCGUUCGGGGAUCUUGGGUAACGGCAGGUUUCAUAGUUGUACCGGUUGAUCAAGGUCAUUCUAAAAAAAAAAAAAAUCUGAUGACUAGGAUUGGGAUGGACUGUACUUUCCAGAAAAGCUUCCUGCUCACUGUGACUAAGCAACACUUAAAAAAAAAAAAAAAAAAGUACCUUCAGUUCCUUGUGUUGCGCUAUCGAUUCAGUGGAAUAUUCAGAACAUUAUGUUCUAAGUGUGCCGCCAUGGGAUUUUUUUUUUUUUUUUGUGACUCACGCACUGUGACCUCGCCCCAUUCAAGGAAAUCCCAAACUUGUUUCACCGGGCUGGUUGGGAUCAUUUUUGGUCUGUGUGUGUCUGAAUUUUAAAGUGUGGCUCAUAAUUCUCAACCCUGUCAGUUUAUGUGUCGUGACUAAGUGUGGUCGUGUUCCAGUAAAAAAAAAAAAAAAAGCCUCACACAGAAG